rnacentral:ncRNA from 2 species
AUCCACUGACAGGGGAGCACCGUCCGGUGCUGAGAGUGCGCCGACGGCGCAGACCCUCGAACCUGAUCCGGCUCGCACCGGCGUAGGGAGUCGGGAUUUCCGUGGA